CAGGCCAUAGAGACACAUCUGUUUGUCAUCAGUGAUGCUCCCUGGGUGCAGACCUGAGUUGUGUGUGGAAACCGGCAGCUGCGCACACACGUAGCAGUUCACAGCAUGUCCCUCAUAAGCGGUUCUGUUCAUCAGUUUCCACCACAGAUUGGUACUGUAGUCAUGCGGCAGUCACAGCGCAGUAGAAGAUCCAUCUGGCAUAUGGAGUCCCCAUUGCUGCUCGGCGUACAGAGAUGUCAGAACCCCCAAACUAAAGGAGUGAGAAUCUUAGCGUUUCUUCACCGGGUUUGAGACGAACUACAACUAUAAAGUAGCUCCCCUUUGUACCCCGGAAGCUCUCAGAGCUCUCCUUCCUCUCUACUCCGGAUUAGGGAUCCAACACUCUCUGCAGCUUGCAGUGACUGAGAUGUAUCCAGCUGGGUCUUUCAGCAAUCUUUACAGCUGUUGGUGUGGUCAUCAGCACCUGGAACGGUCCUUCCCACCGUGGACUCGCCCAGUUCUUUCGUUUGAUGACCUUUAUGUAGACCCAGUCACCUUACUCGAUUGGAGUGGCCUCCUGUGCAGGAAGAGAAUCAAAAGGCAGUAACUUUGCUCUGGACACUUCCUUCAGUUUAAGAGUCCUGAUCAUAUAAUCUGCUAAUGUCUGUUCUUCAUCAGCUUUUUGUAUUCUGGAGCAAACAGAGGCAAUCUGUAAGCUCUCCCAUGAAUUAUUUCAAAAGGUGUUAGACCAUCAGCUGUCGGGGUGAUUCUCAUAUAGAGCUUCACUAAGUCUAAGCAUUCUGGCCAGGGCCGGCCAGUAUCUGCCAUGCAUUUUCUUAAUCUGCUUUUCACGGUACCAUUUGUUCUUUCCACCAGCCCUGCACUCUGUGGGUGAUAGGCACGGUGAUUCUUUAAUGUCAUUCCCAAGUGUGUAGCUAUGUUUUGUAUCACUUGGUUUACAAAAUGUGGUCCAUUGUCACUAUAAACAGUCUGGAAAACCAUGUGUUGGGAUAAUAGUUUUACAAAUAGCCUUAGCUACCGUCAAAGCAUCUGCAUGCUUUGCUGGAACUAUUUCAACCCAUUU